UGUCCGGCUCGCCCGGCGCCCGACCUCCCAACCCUGUGUCUACCCAACCGACCCAUGUUGCUUCGGCGGACCGGCCUCCUGUCCCCCCCUCUCUUGUGGGGGACGGCGGCCGCCGGGACCGUCACACGUCCUGGAGCGUCGUCCGCCGACGGCCCAACCGAACACAUUCUUGUCGUAACCUGUCGUCUGACCACACACGUACACGUCGGUGUACCACGUAAACUAAAAAUUUACAAGCAAAACUUUCAACAACGGAUCUCUUGGUUCUGGCAUCGAUGAAGAACGCAGCGAAAUGCGAUAAGUAAUGCGAAUUGCAGAAUUUCCGUGAGUCAUCGAAUCUUUGAACGCACAUUGCGCCCUUUGGUAUUCCGAAGGGCAUGCCUGUUCGAGCGUCAUUAUCCCCCCUCAAACCCCGGGUUUGGUGUUGGACCAAGUCCCCACGAGCGGCCCCGAUCGGGGUCGUGGACGGGACCGGUCUCAAAGGCAAUGACGGCGUCCGCGGGACCCCCGGUACAACGAGCUUGCUGUUCCGCAGCACGAGCACGUACCGUCGGUGUCGCGCGGACCCCGGUCGACCGGGCGGUCGCCCCUCUGCGGGGUGGCCACCCACUGUUUUUUCACAGGUUGACCUCGGAUCAGGUAGGAAUACCCGCUGAACUUAAGCAUAUCAAUAAGGCGGAGGAAAG
rnacentral:rRNA from 1 species